rnacentral:rRNA from 1 species
UACAGAGGUCCCAAGCGUUGUUCGGAUUUACUGGGCGUAAAGGGUGCGUAGGUGGCGGGGUAAGCCUGGUGUGAAAGCUCCGAGCUCAACUCGGAAAAGCAUUGGAAACUAUCCCGCUGGAGGGUCGGAGGGGAGACUGGAAUUCUCGGUGUAGCAGUGAAAUGCGCAGAUAUCAGGAGGAACACCAAUGGCGAAGGCAGCACUCUGGGACGUGACUGACGCUGAGACGCGAAAGCAUGGGGAGCGAAGCAGG